ACCUCUCCAAAAACAGUAAAAAUAAAAAAUUAGCCAGGCAUGGUGGUGUGUACCAGUAGUCCCAGCUACUCAGGAGGCUAAGGCAGGAGGAUUGCUUGAGCCCAGGAGAUCAAGGCUGUGGUGAGCUGUGAUCUGGAGCGCCACUGCACUCCAUCCUGGGCAAUGGAGCCAGACCCUGUCUCAACAACAACAAUGAAACCAAGAUUGUCUGCUGUAUGACAAGCUUACCUCUCUGAACUUCACUGUCCCCAUUUGUAAAAUAAGGAUAAAAAGAACUACCAAAUGAGGAUUUCAAAAAAAGAUAAUGAAAGGUUUUGAAAAUUAUAAAAGCAGGGUAAACAGAAAGUAUUACUCUUAUUAUUUAUACCAAUACUCUCAUGUUUAUACAAAUUAUAUAGGCAUACACAGGAAUCCCAGAAAAAAAAAAGGAGCAAUUAAAAAGUCUAUCAGCAGACAUGAGCCCUUAAAGCAUUCACCAAGAUAACACAUAAGCAGGACUUCAGGCUACUUUGGUUUGUUGUUCUGUUUAGUAAUUUAAUGAUGGCUAAAUCUGCUGUGAUCUCUCAUCCAUCCUGAGCCUCUCCCACUUCAUAUUGUAAGCUCCCUGGAAAUGAAGACCACGUUCUUAAUUCUUCAGAAAACUGCCAGCCCCUAACAUAAUAUCCCAUGAAUGGUGGAUGAUUAAUAGGUGAUUCUAGAAACAUGAAGCUAGAAGAAGCCUCUGAGAUCCAUUCAUUCAAUAGUUUAACAAGUUUUUACUGAGUGUCCACAAUGCACCAGACACUUUUCUAGGAUCUGAGAUUAAGGAGGCGACCAAGAAAAAAGCUGACCCCUGCCGUCUGAUGCUCAGUUUCUAGUGGGUGAGAGAGUCAAUCUAUAAAUCAGUAAAGAAAUCAUAAAUAAAUGAAGCACUGGGUAAUGCUAAGGGUUGUAAAGCAAACUGCAGCAGAGUCAAGAGCUGAGAGUUGGGGAACGCAGGUUGGUUUAGCCAGUAAUGUCUCUGGGAAGGGGAACAUUGGAGCACAAUCUGAGUGGGCUGAGGACUGGGUCACACUGUGACUUAGGGUUAAAACAGUCCAGGUAGAAGGAAGAGAAGUGCCAUGCCCUAAGACAGAAGUGAGCUUGGUGCAUUACAGUGACAGUACAGAACCCAGGGCAGAGGUGAGAUGCCCAAGACAGGCAGGAAGGCUGGCAGCCAAGAUAAGAUGCUAGAGUUUACUCCCAGAGUGAAGGGAUGCAGCCAUCUGAGGGUGUUGAGGCAGGAGGUGAACAAAUGUGACGCACUUUUAACAUUACUCUAACUGCCAUGGGGAACAAGAGUGGAAGCAGAAAACCAGUCUGGACAUUUUUGUGGAGAGGAGUGAUGGUGGUUUUGAUGCGGGCAGAGGUAGCAAGACUCAGAUGCAGUCAGGUCAUAUCUGGAAGGGGACUCUAAUAUUUGCAGAAUGUCUCCAAGGGCCAGGAUGCUUUCCUGUGCUCCUAGGAAGAGCUUGGGGCUGCAAAGGAGGUGUGGAAGGGAAGGUCCAGGGGUCACCAGCACCUGGUUCCUACCCAAACAGUUCAGCCUCACCUGCCUCACCACGGGGCUUCCCAGCAGCCCUACCCCAUGCAUUUGGCUCCGUUGACAAGUCAUUUGUUAACACCCUGCCCUUCUAUGCCACAUCAUUUUUAGUAACAAUCAUGAAUGAAAAGAAUACUAAUAACUUAGAAGGAAACAGAGAAAAUUUGCUUUCAUUCAAUUUCAUAUAUAGAAAAUCAUGCUCUUAAAUAAGAAAAUAAAAUUAAAAUAUGACAGAAAAUAAAUAUUACAGUACAACAAGGGAGAAAAAGCACAGCUAUUUAUUCAAAAGUUUUAUACUUACCUAACAGUUUUGAAAUGUGAUUCUUUGGUUGCAGUGGAAUAUAAUAAUAUGUCAUAUAAAUGACUCUCUAGUAACUAAUAAGUACAUUUCAAUAAAACAAGUGUCUAUAAAGAGCACAAUUUAGAUGACUAAUUGUACUGCUGAUGUAAUGCUGUUUAUGUUUUCUAGCUUUGCUCUUCAGUUUUAAAACAGUAA
rnacentral:lncRNA from 10 species